CCCAGUCACUGGAAGUCCCUGCCCACCUGAUCUAAUCCGUCUCGACUCUCGAUCUAAACUUCCCCACUCCACCAGACCAGACCGCCGGCGAAAUCAGCCAUCGGCAGGCCGCCGAGCACCGUUUUCAAAACCUACAAUCAAGCAGGUUUGGAGUUGUUUUAAUUACGGAGGAGUUAGGUUCCACCUUCGACUAGUUGAAGCCAGAAAGGAAGAAGGUUCAAGGGUUGGGUGUAUUUGGAAAUGGCAUUGCUGAAUGUGUUGAAGGGCGAGCCACUGGUGACGAAGCUGGCAGCAGUGGCUAAGUAUGCUGUUCUUCCAGGUGCUAUGAUUGCUGCUCUGAUCUAUUCACCUCCAGAUUAUUUGUGUAAGAAGCCUCAACCUGCUUCAGCUUCCAAGUAGACUUGGUGUGCUUCAGCUUCUCACCAUGUAAUUCCCAUCGGGAACUUUGAUUGCUUAAAUUAAAUAAAAGCCUUUCCAGAGUUUACUGAAAUGGUGCAGCAGUUUAGUAAGUGCUAUGUAAUGAGUAAUUUUCACAGCUAUGUUAGGCUCACCUUAAAUUUCAGGAUUUUUGGAAUUGAAUGUUUCUUUUCAUUUGAAGAUUGUUAAGCAGCUUCCAAAAGAAAAAUGAAUUGAUGUUUCAGUUAAUGAGUUUAUAGCUGGCUUUGAGCUAUUCAGAUGGGGUGAAUUGCUCACCAACAUUUUUAGUUGUGGAUGCCAAUGUUGGGAUUGGGGUUGUUGCUGGAACAGACAAUUGUCUAGUUGAUGAAGUAGCGGACUCUGUUGUGUCUAAUUGCAAUUUACUGCCACAGACUGAUCUUUGAAACCUUUCUUGAAUUCACUGUCAUCUGGACUUUGGAUUCUAGUCCCUUGAAAUCUGAUUGCUGCUGUUUGGGCACCGUUUGCAUCUUCUGGAUUUUGAUAAACUAGUUACCACCAUACUGCUGGAUAUAGCAGGGUUACAAAAAUAACUGUUGCAACAUUCCUGAGUGUGCUAGUUGUCUAUGAAUGAUGAGGUUCUCUUUACCUUUGUUGCUUGCUUGAUGUUCAGGCUUUGUUUCUACGUUGUAAAUGCGAUGACAUAUGACUGGUAACAUUGAGUGAGACGCAGCUUGUUUUCCAUUUUAAAGGGCUGAUUUGCCAUUGCAAGUCCUUGUGCUUUGGAAUUUCCAAACAGGUACUUGAUCUUGUAUAAAUGUAAGAGGAACUGAACUCUUGCUAUUAGAGCAUAAUGUAUAAGUCACAAUGAUGCCAAUAAUAUGUUUAGCUUGCAUUCUUGCCGGUU